CUGAUCCAGCCAUGCCGCGUGAGUGAAGAAGGCCUUCGGGUUGUAAAGCUCUUUCGGCGGGGACGAAAAGGUCCGUGUUAACACCACGGAUCCAUGACGGUACCCGCAGAAGAAGCACCGGCUAACUACGUGCCAGCAGCCGCGGUAAUACGUAGGGUGCAGGCGUUAAUCGGAAUUACUGGGCGUAAAGCGUGCGCAGGCGGUCUAUUAAGACAGGUGUGAAAUCCCCGGGCUUAACCUGGGAACUGCGCUUGUAACUGAUAGGCUGGAGUGUAGCAGAGGGGGGUGGAAUUCCAGGUGUAGCAGUGAAAUGCGUAGAGAUCUGGAGGAACACCGAUGGCGAAGGCAGCCCCCUGGGCUAACACUGACGCUCAUGCACGAAAGCGUGGGGAGCAAACAGGAUUAGAUACCCUGGUAGUCCACGCCCUAAACUAUGUCAACUGGUUGUCGGGGAAGCAAUUCCUUGGUAACGAAGCUAACGCGUGAAGUUGACCGCCUGGGGAGUACGGCCGCAAGGUUAAAACUCAAAGGAAUUGACGGGGACCCG
rnacentral:rRNA from 1 species